ensembl:misc_RNA Metazoa_SRP Metazoan signal recognition particle RNA
GCUGGGCGCUGUGGCGCAUACCCAUAGUCCUAGCUACUCUGGAGGCUGAGGUGGGAGGAUUACUUGAGCCCAGGAGUUCUGGGCUGUAGUGCACUAUGCCAAUUGACUAUCUGCACUAAGUUCGGCAUCAAUAUGGUGACCUCCCGGGAGUGGGGGGACCACCAGGUUGCCUAAGGAAGAGUGAACCAGCCCAGGUCGGAAAUGGAGUAGGUCAAAACUCCUGUGCUGAUCAGUAGUGGGAUGGUGCCUGUAAAUAGCCACUGCACACCAGCCUGGGCAACAUAGUGAGACCCUGUCUCAA